UGGUCUCUACCAAGGCUGCUAGGAAAUAUCAUUUCUGGUAUGCUGUGGACGUGACCAUAAAAUAAACUCCUUCAGAUUUUUAUUGUUGCUAUGGUAGCAUCAAAUCUGUUGGAAACAUCU
ensembl:snoRNA small nucleolar RNA SNORA32